AGAAGACUUCAGUAGAGGCAGACAAGCUUAAGACUUCCAAGAAAAGAACGGAGACUUCUAAAGUGCGAGUGGAAGAAACAUUCCCACCAGAAGAACCAAGGCUCUUAAUGGUCACCAGCCCUAUAGCUGAAGCCGUUCCUGCACAAGUUGUCCCAGAAGUGAGACAAUC